ACUGACGCUAAAGCUCGAAGGUGCGGGUAUCGAACAGGAUUAGAUACCCUGGUAGUCCGCACGGUAAACGAUGGAUGCCCGCUGUUUGCGAUAUACUGUGAGCGGCCAAGAGAAAUCGUUAAGCAUCCCACCUGGGGAGUACGCCGGCAACGGUGAAACUCAAAGGAAUUGACGGGGGCCCGCACAAGCGGAGGAACAUGUGGUUUAAUUCGAUGAUACGCGAGGAACCUUACCCGGGCUUGAACUGCAGGAGAAGGAUACAGAGAUGUUGACGCCCUUCGGGGCUCCUGUGGAGGUGCUGCAUGGUUGUCGUCAGCUCGUGCCGUGAGGUGUCGGCUUAAGUGCCAUAACGAGCGCAACCCUUUUCUUCAGUUGCCAUCAGGUUAAGCUGGGCACUCUGGAGACACUGCCACCGUAAGGUGUGAGGAAGGUGGGGAUGACGUCAAAUCAGCACGGCCCUUACGUCCGGGGCUACACACGUGUUACAAUGGGUGGUACAGAGAGUCGGUCGUCUGCAAAUGCGAUCCAAUCCUUAAAGCCAUCCUCAGUUCGGAUUGGGGUCUGCAACCCGACCCCAUGAAGCUGGAUCGCUAGUAAUCGC
rnacentral:rRNA from 1 species